UAAUACGAAGGGCCCGAGCGUUACUCGGAAUCAUUGGGCUUAAAGCGUACGUAGGCGGGCGCGCAGGCACCUUGUGAAAUCCCUCGGCUCAACCGAGGAAUUGCUUGGUGAACCGCGUGCCUUGAGACAAGUAGGGGCUGUCGGAACGAUAGGUGGAGCGGUGAAAUGCGUUGAUAUCUAUCGGAACGCCGAAGGAGAAAUCAGGCAGCUGGGCUUGUUCUGACGCUGAGGUACGAAAGCGUGGGGAGCGAACGGGAUUAGAUACCCCGGUAGUCCACGCCGUAAACGAUGUGCACUAGAUCGAGGGGACUCUGACGUCGCUCUCGGUCGAAGCAAAAGUGUUAAGUGCACCGCCUGGGGAGUACGGUCGCAAGGCUA
rnacentral:rRNA from 1 species